GACGAACGCUGGCGGCGUGCCUAAUACAUGCAAGUUGAGCGCUGAAGGUUGGUACUUGUACCAACUGGAUGAGCAGCAAACGGGUGAGUAACGCGUGGGGAAUCUGCCUUUGAGCGGGGGACAACAUUUGGAAACGAAUGCUAAUACCGCACAAAAACUUUAAACACAAGUUUUAAGUUUGAAAGAUGCAAUUGCAUCACUCAAAGAUGAUCCCGCGUUGUAUUAGCUAGUUGGUGAGGUAAAGGCUCACCAAGGCGAUGAUACAUAGCCGACCUGAGAGGGUGAUCGGCCACAUUGGGACUGAGACACGGCCCAAACUCCUACGGGAGGCAGCAGUAGGGAAUCUUCGGCAAUGGACGAAAGUCUGACCGAGCAACGCCGCGUGAGUGAAGAAGGUUUUCGGAUCGUAAAACUCUGUUGGUAGAGAAGAACGUUGGUGAGAGUGGAAAGCUCAUCAAGUGACGGUAACUACCCAGAAAGGGACGGCUAACUACGUG
rnacentral:rRNA from 1 species